rnacentral:rRNA from 1 species
GAUGAACGCUGGCGGCAUGCCUAAUACAUGCAAGUCGAACGAGAGGAAGGAAAGCUUGCUUUUCUGAAUCUAGUGGCGAACGGGUGAGUAACACGUAGGUAACCUGCCCAUGUGCCCGGGAUAACUUCUGGAAACGGAUGCUAAAACCGGAUAGGUAGCAGACAAGCAUUUGACUGCUAUUAAAGUGGCUAAGGCCAUGAACAUGGAUGGACCUGUGGUGCAUUAGCUAGUUGGUGAGGUAACGGCCCACCAAGGCGACGAUGCAUAGCCGGCCUGAGAGGGCGGACGGCCACAUUGGGACUGAGACACGGCCCAAACUCCUACGGGAGGCAGCAGUAGGGAAUUUUCGUCAAUGGGGGGAACCCUGAACGAGCAAUGCCGCGUGAGUGAGGAAGGUCUUCGGAUCGUAAAGCUCUGUUGUAAGAGAAAAACGACAUUCAUAGGGAAUGAUGAGUGAGUGAUGGUAUCUUACCAGAAAGUCACGGCUA